AACGAACGCUGGCGGCAGGCCUAACACAUGCAAGUCGAACGCCCUGGCAACAGGGAGUGGCAGACGGGUGAGUAACGCGUGGGAAUCUACCUUGUGGUACGGAACAACCAAGGGAAACUU
rnacentral:rRNA from 1 species